GGUAAGUGAUCCAGAACAGGCUGAACUGAUAAAAAUAUGUGUGAAAAUGUCCAGAUUGACGAUAUAUCCUAAAAAUAAGUUUCACAAAAUAGCGGAAGAAGUAGAAAGGGCCUGGUUUCCCAUACAUGUGAUUUCAUCUUUAAUUUUUUUUAAGGUCUAAAAUAUUCAGUUUGAAAAUGAUUUGAGCACUGCCAUCUGGAAUGGAUAGAGAGUGAAAGGCCCUAGAUGGGGAACAAUAGAAAGCAUCGUUGGAAGAGUGAAGGGGCAAAACUUGAUGUGUUGACAGCAAACAAACGCGUGCACAGCCCCGCAUGUAGAGUGGAGACUUUCCCCACUUGUCUUCAAAGCAGUAUGCUCUACGUACGCCCUGGCGAGAGCCAAGUUAGCUUAACUGUUAUUUACUUCUCUUCUCAAGAUUCCAAAGCAGAUGAGCAUUGCUGCAUUGCCAGCUCUGAGAGAACGCGGGGGUUUCCAAUUAUAAAUUCUAACCUUAGACAAGCAAGCCCCCUUCCAACUCCAACAAGGAAAUUCAGAGCUCUAACAUAACAGUGUUUUAAGAGCAUCCUGCCCGCAUUGGUUAGACCUGCAGUGUGGGGCUUGCUUCAUAUCAGAAAACCAGAUUUCUUGGUGUAUAUAGAGCAUGCUAUGAAUACUCAUCACAGGGCCAAUCUACUCGGGACAACACUGGGAUACUUUUAUAUUCUUCUGUGAUUGAAAUGACUUUGUCUUCUACAAUUGUCAAGGAAUUUGGAGAAGAUUUCUGUGUGACAUCUUCAGCAAGCUCAUGACCAAGCAUUAAUUACAUUGGACAGACAGGAUAUGUACCAAGCAGGCAUGGUAAACCUUAGAGACGUGAUCAGGAAACAUACAGAGCUCAUGUCGAUGAAGAGUCUAAAAUUCUAGGGAAGGAAUUUGCACAUGCAAACAGAUAGACAUUUUUAAAAUUCUAAUAUGAUUUCAAAAAUGUAUUGUAUCAAAUUAGUAACCAGUGUUCCUAUGAUAAAUGAAUAUAAAUAACAUGAAUAUAAACACCCAGGUUUGGAGAUUGAGUAUUUAAAUUAUUAAUUUUGAGGGUUCGGAAGCUUGACCAAGUCCUUAUUAUUUGCCUCAAGGACAACUUCCUGAGUCUUUCGUGUGUCUGGCUAUCAGAUAUUUCUACACUGGCAUAACGGAGCAAGCCACUACACUGAAGUUAUGGGCUGGGAAUUUAUUUUCUUCUACUGUCCUGUCAGAGGAGAUAGGAACUUCUGUGCACAAAACCAAAUGAGAAGCUCUGACCUUUAGCCUGGCAUUUAGUUGCCUCCAACUCAUUCUUACUUAUGCCGAAGGUCACAGUGGAUAAUCUCAAGCCCUAAGCAAUUUCAUAGCCACAUUGGACAAACUCUACACUUGCUUCCAUAAUUAAACAUCAGACUUCAAAAAAGGAAGUGAUGGAAGAGAGACAGAAAAAUACCCUAGAUGAGAAGCUGGACUCUAACAGGAAAGUCAUGGAAUCAGCCUGGUGAGAGAGAGGAAGGAAAGGAGGGAAGAGAGGAGCAGCCGUGCUGGAUGUGCAGAGGAGCUCAACCCUUUAGAGGGUGGAGUCUUGCAGGAGGAAGGGGGUCUCUAGGGCAGGCUGCAAGGACCCAUAGCCUCACUCCAUUGCCUGCCCCGCCUCCCAUGAAUGGAUGAAAGUUGCAAUCAGCCAGCUCUCCUUCCUGCUGCCAGCCAUGUCUUUCCCACCACAAUGGUAUGCAUCCUUCUGGGAGCAUAAAUCAAAAUAAACUUAAUUUUAAGUUA